rnacentral:rRNA from 1 species
GACGAACGCUGGCGGCGUGCUUAACACAUGCAAGUCGAACGGAAAGGCCCUGCUUUUGUGGGGUGCUCGAGUGGCGAACGGGUGAGUAACACGUGAGUAACCUGCCCUUGACUUUGGGAUAACUUCAGGAAACUGGGGCUAAUACCGGAUAGGAGCUCCUGCUGCAUGGUGGGGGUUGGAAAGUUUCGGCGGUUGGGGAUGGACUCGCGGCUUAUCAGCUUGUUGGUGGGGUAGUGGCUUACCAAGGCUUUGACGGGUAGCCGGCCUGAGAGGGUGACCGGCCACAUUGGGACUGAGAUACGGCCCAGACUCCUACGGGAGGCAGCAGUGGGGAAUAUUGCACAAUGGGCGGAAGCCUGAUGCAGCAACGCCGCGUGCGGGAUGACGGCCUUCGGGUUGUAAACCGCUUUCGCCUGUGACGAAGCGUGAGUGACGGUAAUGGGUAAAGAAGCACCGGCUAACUACGUGCCAGCAGCCGCGGUGAUACGUAGGGUGCGAGCGUUGUCCGGAUUUAUUGGGCGUAAAGGGCUCGUAGGUGGUUGAUCGCGUCGGAAGUGUAAUCUUGGGGCUUAACCCUGAGCGUGCUUUCGAUACGGGCUGACUUGAGGAAGGUAGGGGAGAAUGGAAUUCCUGGUGGAGCGGUGGAAUGCGCAGAUAUCAUGAGGAACACCAGUGGCGAAGGCGGUUCUCUGGGCCUUUCCUGACGCUGAGGAGCGAAAGCGUGGGGAGCGAACAGGCUUAGAUACCCUGGUAGUCCACGCUGUAAACGGUGGGUACUAGGUGUGGGGUCCAUUCCACGGGUUCCGUGCCGUAGCUAACGCUUUAAGUACCCCGCCUGGGGAGUACGGCCGCAAGGCUAAAACUCAAAGGAAUUGACGGGGCCCCGCACAAGCGGCGGAGCAUGCGGAUUAAUUCGAUGCAACGCGUAGAACCUUACCUGGGUUUGACAUGGAUCGGGAGUGCUCAGAGAUGGGUGUGCCUCUUUUGGGGUCGGUUCACAGGUGGUGCAUGCCUGUCGUCAGCUCGUGUCGUGAGAUGUUGGGUUAAGUCCCGCAACGAGCGCAACCCUUGUUCACUGUUGCCAGCACGUUAUGGUGGGGACUCAGUGGAGACCGCCGGGGUCAACUCGGAGGAAGGUGGGGAUGACGUCAAGUCAUCAUGCCCCUUAUGUCCAGGGCUUCACGCAUGCUACAAUGGCUGGUACAGAGAGUGGCGAGCCUGUGAGGGUGAGCGAAUCUCGGAAAGCCGGUCUCAGUUCGGAUUGGGGUCUGCAACUCGACCUCAUGAAGUCGGAGUCGCUAGUAAUCGCAGAUCAGCAACGCUGCGGUGAAUACGUUCCCGGGGCU